UGUGAGAAUUGCGAGAGGAGUAAUGGAGCUUGUGGGUAUUCUGGAACUUACAAUUCAUUUGUGUGCAACUGUCCUAGUGGGUUGAAUACGACAACAGAUUGUUUCUUCGCAGCAUCUUGGAACCAUGGCUUAGUACUACUGCCAUGCAGACCGGGAAAUGGGUGAUCUACUGUUUGGCAUGGUUUCUGAUGUUGCUGUAGAAUGAAGAAGAGCAGUUUGUGGAAAUGAAUUCCAAUGCUGGAAGCAAAUAAAACUGCUAGUUGACUUUUUCUUCUUGUGAUUUCUCCAAUUUGAAGGGAAUUGAAAGGCACGAGAUUUUUUUGUCUAUAAA